rnacentral:rRNA from 1 species
AUGGCAUGCCCUCCUUGCCCGCCGUCGCCGCUCGCCAGGGUGCGGCUCGACGACGUGGCGCCACACGACGGCGCGGCCGCCCCGGGCUACGCGCGCGCCGUCGGCGCCCUCGCCGCCUCGCUCGCCCGCCGCGGCGCCGCCGUGCUCGAGCUCCCCGCCGACGACGCGGCCGUCAUCCGCUGCGCCCUCGAAUCCGCCCGCGCCUUCUUCCGCGGCCGCCACGCCGCCUACCUCUACCGCGCCGGGAGGACUUUGGAAGAUGGAGAGUUGUCGCCUGCUUGCAUGGCUGAUGCUUUCAGAUGUUUGGGCAAAGCAGCCCGGGCCGCCCUCUGUGCAAUAGCACGGCACCUGCGCCUACGUACCGACGUAUUCAACCAAUUACUUGAUGAUACUCCACUGCCGGUUAACGAGGUCUCCUCAUCAGAGUUGCUGGUGGCAUAUUCUCAUGAACAGCCCCAAAGUGGUCACUCACUCAUGGGAUGUCCCAGCAGGUCCUCAAUGCCUCAAGUUGAUAGGGGAUUUGUGACGCUAGUUGCUUCCGAUUGUCCAGGAAUUGAGGUUUGUGACCCAAAUGGCCAUUGGUACCUAGCUGAUGGGGUUUCAGGCCCAAAUAAUCUAUUGCUUCUGACUGGAAGGGCCCUAAGUCAUGUUACUGCUGGUCUUUGCCCAAUUUCCCACUACAGGGUCACUAAUGAGAAUAGGGCAUCACUCACCUUUAGGUUGGUGCCUCAUGCCAACGCUAUAUUGGAUUGCUCUCCAAUUUUAGCUGCUGGGCAUUGCAUACGACAGGUGUACCAACCCAUACCUGCAAGCCAAUUUAUGGAUGAUUCUUAUGCUGAAGAGCACGCUGUUUCCAGUCACUUGGAAGAACCUUUUGAAUCUCAGGGCAACUUUGUUAGCGACCCAUCACUCAGAAGUGUCCUGUCAGACCCUCUGUCGUAA